rnacentral:rRNA from 1 species
CCUACGGGGGACAGCAGUGGGGAAUAUUGGUCAAUGGACGAGAGUCUGAACCAGCCAAGUAGCGUGAGGGAUGACUGCCCUAUGGGUUGUAAACUUCUUUUAUAUGGGAAUAAACUGUUCCACUUGUGGGCUUUUGUAUGUACCAUAUGAAUAAGGAUCGGCUAACUCCGUGCCAGCAGCCGCGGUAAUCCGGAGGAUCCGAGCGUUAUCCGGAUUUAUUGGGUUUAAAGGGAGUGUAGGUGGAUUGGUAAGUCAGUUGUGAAAGUUUGCGGCUCAACCGUAAAAUUGCAGUUGAAACUGGCAGUCUUGAGUACAGUAGAGGUGGGCGGAAUUCGUGGUGUAGCGGUGAAAUGCUUAGAUAUCACGAAGAACUCCGAUUGCGAAGGCAGCUCACUGGACUGCAACUGACACUGAGGCUCGAAAGUGUGGGUAUCAAACAGGAUUAGAUACCCGUGUAGUC